UACGUAGGGGGCAAGCGUUGUCCGGAAUCAUUGGGCGUAAAGAGCGUGUAGGCGGCUCGAUAAGUCUGCUGUGAAAGUCCAGGGCUCAACCCUGGAAGGCCGGUGGAAACUGUCGGGCUAGAGUCCGGAAGAGGCGAGUGGAAUUCCCGGUGUAGCGGUGAAAUUCGUAGAUAUUGGGAAGAACACCGGUGGCGAAGGCGGCUAUCUGGACCGACAUUGACGCUGAGGCGCGAAAGCGUGGGGAGCAAACAGG
rnacentral:rRNA from 1 species